rnacentral:rRNA from 1 species
UCCACGCCCUAAACGAUGUCUACUAGUUGUCGGGUUUUAAUUAACUUGGUAACGCAGCUAACGCGUGAAGUAGACCGCCUGGGGAGUACGGUCGCAAGAUUAAAACUCAAAGGAAUUGACGGGGACCCGCACAAGCGGUGGAUGAUGUGGAUUAAUUCGAUGCAACGCGAAAAACCUUACCUACCCUUGACAUGUACGGAAGGCCGAAGAGAUUUGGCUGUGCUCGAAAGAGAACCGUAACACAGGUGCUGCAUGGCUGUCGUCAGCUCGUGUCGUGAGAUGUUGGGUUAAGUCCCGCAACGAGCGCAACCCUUGUCAUUAGUUGCUACAUUCAGUUGAGCACUCUAAUGAGACUGCCGGUGACAAACCGGAGGAAGGUGGGGAUGACGUCAAGUCCUCAUGGCCCUUAUGGGUAGGGCUUCACACGUCAUACAAUGGUACAUACAGAGGGCCGCCAACCCGCGAGGGGGAGCUAAUCCCAGAAAGUGUAUCGUAGUCCGGAUCGCAGUCUGCAACUCGACUGCGUGAAGUUGGAAUCGCUAGUAAUCGCGGAUCAGCAUGUCGCGGUGAAUACGUUCCCGGGUCUUGUACACACCGCCCGUCACACCAUGGGAGCGGGUUUUACCAGAAGUAGGUAGCUUAACCGCAAGGAGGGCGCUA